rnacentral:tRNA from 1 species
CGCGGGAUGGAGCAGGAUGGUAGCCCGUCGGGCUCAUAACCCGAAGGUCGUUGGUUCAAAUCCAGCUCCCGCAACCA